rfam:Gossypium hirsutum cultivar TM-1 unplaced genomic scaffold scaffold559.1, whole genome shotgun sequence
UGUUAAAAAUUUCAUCCAUUUGUACGGUUAAAAACUGGCGUGGUUGACAGAAUAACCAUAUAGUGACACGUGGAAUGCGACAUGUACCUCAUGUUGAUGUACAAGGGCCAGUUAUUAACAAUAGAAGUUGAUAGAAUUUUUAAUA